GUGGGCGUAGCGCAAUUGGUUAGAGCAGCAGGUUGUGGUCCUGCAGGUUGGGGGUUCGAGUCCCCUCGCUCACCCCA
rnacentral:tRNA from 1 species